GCCGCGCCGCGUCGCGCCUUGGUUCCCGGAGGAGCUCGGCAGGCAUCGCUCCUCGGUGCGGCUCUGGGAGCCACCGCGGCCGUCUGUGAGGGGGGGUGGCGGUGAGGAGAGGCGGCCCCGACGGGGCCGCGGUGCAACGCACGGCGCUGGGAGCGGCCCCGGAUACCGUCCAGGUGUUUUCACAACAGUGGAAAACCGCAUUGUGUAAAGGAACAGUAAGCCAUGUGGGUAAAUGCGAACAGCAGUUUAAACGUGCAGGAAAGGAGCAUUUCCUUGUCUGCCCUGGUAAAUGGUUCUCCUACAGCCCCACGUGACGUGUCCUGUCUGCCAGCCAAGGAGGGCUGGCUGUGACAGCUUCAUGGCCCCUCAGCUCUGCUCCUCACAAUGGUAGGUGCUACUGGA